UUUCUUCAGUGGCACAUAUGACAAAAUUGGAAUGAUACAGAGAUUUGCAUAGCCCCUGUGCAGAAUCAACUCAUAAAAACCAGUAGCCUUUCUAU
rnacentral:snRNA from 1 species